rnacentral:rRNA from 1 species
CCUACGGGAGGCAGCAGUGAGGAAUAUUGGUCAAUGGGCGCGAGCCUGAACCAGCCAAGUCGCGUGAAGGGUGACUGCCCUACGGGUUGUAAACUUCUUUUAUAAGGGAGUAAAGUGCGGCACGUGUGCCUUUUUGUAUGUACUUUAUGAAUAAGGAUCGGCUAACUCCGUGCCAGCAGCCGCGGUAAUACGGAGGAUCCGAGCGUUAUCCGGAUUUAUUGGGUUUAAAGGGAGCGGAGAUGGGUUGUUAAGUCAGUUGUGAAAGUUUGCGGCUCAACCCUAAAAUUGCAAUUGAUACUGGCAGGCUUGAGUACAGGAGAGGUAGGCGGAAUUCGUGGUGUAGCGGUGAAAUGCGUAGAUAUCACGAAGAACUCCGAUUGCGAAGGCAGCUUACUAAACUGCAACUGACAUUGAGGCUCGAAAGUGUGGGUAUCAAACAGGAUUAGAUACCCCAGUAGUC